CGGAGGAUCCAAGCGUUAUCCGGAUUUAUGGGUUUAAAGGGUGCGUAGGCGGAAUUGUAAGUCAGUGGUGAAAGCCCUUCGCUUAACGAAGGAACUGCCAUUGAUACUGCAAAUCUUGAGUACAUUUGAUGUGGGCGGAAUGUGUCAUGUAGCGGUGAAAUGCUUAGAUAUGACACAGAACACCGAUUGCGAAGGCAGCUCACAAAACUGUAACUGACGCUGAGGCACGAAAGCGUGGGUAUCAAACAGGAUUAGAUACCCUGGUAGUCCACGCUGUAAACUAUGAUUACUCGAUGUUUGCGAUACACUGUAAGCGUCUAAGCGAAAGCGAUAAGUAAUCCACCUGGGGAGUACGCUCGCAAGAGUG
rnacentral:rRNA from 1 species